AGUGCAUCAUGACUUCUCAGAUUUGAUUGAGCAUCGGGAUUUGGGUGGGAUCCUAUUGCAAACACAGUGACUGCCUCAGAGGAUGUUUGGGCAAGUUACUUGAAGAGUAAGCCAAAAGGGAAGCAAUUUCGCACGCAAGGCUUAGAGCACUAUCAACUUUUAGGGGAGAUAUUCAACACUACUACUGCAACUGGGCAAUUGCAUUAUGCCUCUAGUCAACUUCCUCCUAACUCAGAUAAUGAACGUGAGUUAGAAAAUAACUUCCUUAACACCGGAGUUCACAUCGAUGUUGACUUGGAUGAUGAUGGUGACAACCCUCACGGAGUGGUAAAGGAAAAAGAAAGUGUGCAACUACUGCUCCACCUGAGCGUCGUCCAAAGAAAUGGGAUAAAAUGGAAUCUUAUUUGGAUGUUUGCAGUGAAGUUAUGAGUCAAACAUUACAGGCGAGAAAACUUGAGGCAUCUAGCACCUCUAAGGAGAUGUAUUCGAUUGAAGAAUGCAUAGACAUUGUUGAGACAAUGCGAGACAUUGAUAACGAUACAUUCAACAAGAUGCUAGAAAAGAUAGUGCUUGUUGAAUGGUGGAAAAUCUUUGUUACAAUGCUAGCAACAAGGAGGAGAGUUGGUUGGCUAGUCUUUAGGAUUACUACUUAUGUUUGUUGUUGAGAGGAUAUUUAGGAAUUGUUCUUGUUAUUAUGUUUGAUGUUUGUGACUUUAGUUUGUAUGCAUAUUCAUAGAUUUUUGUGAAUUUAA